rnacentral:rRNA from 1 species
CCUACGGGAGGCAGCAGUGAGGAAUAUUGGUCAAUGGGCGCGAGCCUGAACCAGCCAAGCAGCGUGAAGGAUGAAAGCCCUACGGGUUGUAAACUUCUUUUAUAAAGGAAUAAAGUGAGGCACGUGUGCCUCAUUGGAUGUACUUUAUGAAUAAGGAUCGGCUAACUCCGUGCAAGCAGCGGCGGUAAUACGGAGGAUCCGAGCGUUAUCCGGAUUUAUUGGGUUUAAAGGGAGCGUAGAUGGGUUGUUAAGUCAGUUGUGAAAGUUUGGGGCUCAACCGUCAAAUUGCAAUUGAUACUGGCAGCCUUGAGUACAGGUGAGGUAGGCGGAAUUCGUGGUGUAGCGGUGAAAUGCUUAGAUAUCACGAAGAACUCCGAUUGCGAAGGCAGCUUACUAAACUGCCACUGACGUUGAUGCUCGAAAGUGUGGGUAUCAAACAGGAUUAGAUACCCGGGUAGUC